rnacentral:rRNA from 1 species
GACGAACGCUGGCGGCGUGCUUAAUACAUGCAAGUCAACUGAACUUUAGGUAGCAAUAUUUAAAGGGAGGUGGCGCACGGGUGAGUAACACGUAGGUAAUCUGCCUUCAGGACUGACAUAAUUCCGCGAAAGCGGGACUAAAAUCAGAUGAUGCAGCGGCUCGACAUCGAGACAGUUGUUAAACCUUCGGGGCCUGAAGAUGAGCCUGCGUCUGAUUAGGUAGUUGGCGGGGUAAAAGCCCACCAAGCCUGCGAUCAGUAGCUGGUCUGAGAGGAUGAUCAGCCACACUGGAACUGAGACACGGUCCAGACUCCUACGGGAGGCAGCAGUAAGGAAUAUUGCUCAAUGGCCGAAAGGCUGAAGCAGCAACGCCGCGUGGAGGAUGAAAUACUUUAGUAUGUAAACUCCUGUAAGAGGGGAAAAAUAUACAGCUAUGCUGUGUUGAUUGUACCCUCAGAGUAAGCACCGGCUAACUACGUG